UUCGAGCGCCGUUGUACUACUAAGGCUCAGCCUUGCGGUGGCCGCUGCCUCUUCCUUUCGAGAGAGUGGCACGGCCCAAACCAAUGGGCGUUUUCGUGAGAUUGUCCAGCGUAGCAAGUCAAUCGCUUUUCGAUCUUUACAAAAACGCCAGUCAACGAACGUUUGGCCUCGAAUCAGGUAGGGAUACCCGCUGAACUUAA
rnacentral:misc_RNA from 1 species